rnacentral:lncRNA from 1 species
CUGCAAUUGAAAGUAAGUGUGCCUCAUAUUUUAAGUUCCUCUCUUUAUCCCCCAUUCUGCAUUUUUCUUAGUGCAAGUGAAGAACCUGGGAGCCCUCAGCUGCAAAGACUUAAACAGCUGCACCUGCUGGAGCAGAAACCUAAGAAGAAACGACAGGAGGCUACACUGGAAGCCAAGCCAAAAAAGUCCAAAGUGAAAAAGCAGGAGGAAUCAAGUCCUGCAGAGGAGACCAGUGCUGCCCGUCAAGCUGGUGUCAAGAAACUGCGAAAGAAGAAAGAAGAGAAACCGGAAGAAGAGAAUGAAAAGGGUCAAAAUGCUAAAUUAAUUAAGGAGCCCAGGAAAAAAAAGGAAACACCUUCUUCUCAUUUCAGUGUGGCCAGAACACCAAAAAAGAAACAAGGUAGUGUUUUGUCUUGC